GUGCUUACUUCAGUAGCACAUAGACUAAAAUUGAAACAAUACAUAGAAGAUUAGCAUGGCCUCUGCAAAAGACUGACAUACA
rnacentral:snRNA from 1 species